GAUGAACGCUGGCGGCAUGCUUAAUACGUGCAAGUCGAACGGGAAGUGGUGUUUCCUGUGGCGGACGGGAGAGUAACGCGUAAGAACCUGCCCUUGGGAGGGGAACAACAGCUGGAAACGGCUGCUAAUACCCCGUAGGCUGAGGAGCAAAAGGAGGAAUCCGCCCGAGGGGGGGCUUGCGUCUGAGUAGCUAGUUGGUGCAGCAAUAGCUUACCAAGGCGAUGAUCAGUAGCUGGUCCGAGUGGAUGAUCAGCCACACUGCGACUGAGACACGGCCCAGGCUCCUUCGGGAAACAGGAGUGAGGAAUAUGCAGCAAUGGGGGAUAGCCUGACAAGGCAAUGCGGCGGGGAGGUAGAGGGCCCACGGAACGAGGACUGCUUUUCACGGAGAAGAAGCAAUGACGGUAUCUGGGGAAUAAGCAACGGCUAACUCUGUG
rnacentral:rRNA from 1 species